AAUGAACGCUGGCGGCAUGCCUAACACAUGCAAGUCGAACGAAAACACCGGGAGCUGUCGCUCCUGCGGGUGUCGCGCGUCGGACGCGUAACUCAUGUAUCGCAUACCUCUCUGACUGGGGUGAUAACGCCGGACAACUUCUACUAACCACGCAUAUAUCGAACUUGUUUGGGCAGGCGUUGGAUUAGCUUUUUGGGAGGGUAAUAGCCCACUACGGCGACGAUCCAUAGCUGGGUUGAGAGGAUGAUCAGCCACACUGCGACUGAGACACGGCCCAGACUCCUACGGGAGGCAGCAGUGGGGAAUAUUGGAAAAUGGGCGAAAGCCUGAUCCAGCAAUGCCGCGUGAGUGAUGAAGGCCUUAGGGUUGUAAAGCUCUUUUACCCGGGAUGAUAAUGACAGUACCGGGAGAAUAAGCUCCGGCUAACUCCGUG
rnacentral:rRNA from 1 species